CUACGGGGUGCACCAGUGAGGAAUAUUGCACAAUGGGGGGAACCCUGAUGCAGCAACGCCGCGUGGAGGAUGACGCAUUUCGGUGUGUAAACUCCUUUUAUAUGUCAAGAAAAUGACGGUAGCAUAUGAAUAAGCACCGGCUAACUCCGUGCCAGCAGCCGCGGUAAUACGGAGGGUGCAAGCGUUACUCGGAAUCACUGGGCGUAAAGGACGCGUAGGCGGGUUGGAAAGUCAGGUGUGAAAUCCUACAGCUUAACUGUAGAACUGCACUUGAAACUUCUAAUCUAGAGUAUGGGAGGGGGAGAUGGAGUUAGUGGUGUAGGGGUAAAAUCCGUAGAUAUCACUAGGAAUACCUAAAGCGAAGGCGAUCUCCUGGAACAUUACUGACGCUAAGGCGUGAAAGCGUGGGGAGCAAACAGGAUUAGAUACCCUUGUAGUC
rnacentral:rRNA from 1 species